AGGACGAACGCUGGCGGCGCGCUUCAAGCAUGCAAGUCGAACGAGAUACCCGGGCUUGCCCGGGUGGAGAGUGGCGAACGGGUGAGUAACACGUGAGGAACCUGCCCCGAAGACCGGGAUAACGCCGGGAAACUGGUGCUAAUACCGGAUGCCCUCGCCGGAUCGCAUGGUCUGGCGAGGAAAUGGAUUCCGCUUCGGGAUGGCCUCGCGGCCUAUCAGCUAGUUGGUGGGUAACGGCCCACAAGGCAGCGACGGGUAGCUGGUCUGAGAGGAUGUCCAGCCACACUGGGACUGAGACACGGCCCAGACUCCUACGGGAGGCAGCAGCUAGGAAUCUUGCGCAAUGGACGAAAGUCUGACGCAGCGACGCCGCGUGCGGGAUGAAGGCCUUAGGGUCGUAAACCGCUUUCAGCAGGGACGAAAUUGACGGUACCUGCAGAAGAAGCCCCGGCAACUACGUGCCAGCAGCCGCGGUAA
rnacentral:rRNA from 1 species